GUUAAAUGGCUGAAAAGCUAACGUAUUAGUUCCGCUGACAAUCAAUUUUUCAAUUUAAAUAACCCCCUCCCUAUAUUCUCAACGUUUUCAAACUUUCGUGUUAACGACCGAGAUGAGCUUAUCCAGUGAAAAUGGUAAAGUUGUUCAUCCUCUAGGAUUGGAACCUCUUGGUGCUGCACUAUUAAAAGGAUCUUCUAACAAAGGAAGAGAAAGGGGAUUAGGGCUCCUUAAUAUCUUCAGUGAUGAACGGAUAAUAUUUAUUUUAAAACUACUCAAUCCUAAGAAGUUAGGUCA